GGUUUAGCUCGGUCGAUAGAGCAUGAGACUCUUAACUUGCAGGUUGUGGGUUCGAAUCCCACAUUGGGCG